GGGGGCUCCGAGACCGGCAUUGAUUCGGGCUCAGUUCAGGGAGAACCGGGGGCUGUUGGAAAACGCUUGCAGGAACAAGACGAUGUAAUGUGUGCUUGGUACGAAGCCAAGGGUGACCAGCUGCUUUGAACAACCAACAGGAGGAAUAAAUACACAUUCAGUUUUUGAGUGACUGACCAAUCCCGAACGAAACUUACUAUCAUAAACCGGACAGUGACCAAACUGUAUCCACAGAGUCGGAGACUGACAAAGAAAAAAAGAAAACACUUGAAUGACCAAGACAAAGUAAGAUUUCUUCAGUGCAGAGGCAAGUGUGACCAGAUCCUUCUGAUAAACAGCAGGUGACUAGUGUCUCUGGACGUGCU